CAUAUGACGUUGAAACACCGCUUCUCGUGCAAUCACCGAAGUUAAGCAACGUCGAGCCUGGUCAGUAUGUUGAUGGGUGAUUGGGAAUAUCAGGUGCUGUAA